rnacentral:rRNA from 1 species
AUGAAAGAGGGAGCAGCAUGUCCCCCUUCAACUGUAGACCAGUCUGUCAUUCAGGACACUGUUCUAGAUAGGAUGCAUACUGACAAUGAGCGGAAGCGUAAUUUAACAAACGAUCAAAGGGAGACGAAAAACACAAGGAGCAGAGCAUGCCAUCAGAAGAGAAGUGACGAAUUAACAUUCGAGGACAGAGAAAUAAUCAACGGAAAAAGACGCGAGAGGAGCGUGCAACGCCGUAAAAGCAUGUCGGCGAAUGAGAAGGGGGAGUCAAGUGCACAGAGAAAGGCAAAUUAUGACCGAAGGAAAAAAACACCUUGCAAAGAAUGCAUCGCAAUCCCCCUUACAGAACUAGCAAUCUCAGACUCCGAAUGUCCCGCAUUCCCUAGCCGUGCAUCAAUCGUCUCCCAGGCCGCAAAAGAUGAUUCAUCUGAUGACGAUCCGGGGACGAAUAUGCCGACAUACUCUGCCGUUGCCGCUGAGGACAUCGAUGUUUUCCAAAGCGGGACCAUGCGUCAUGAGCAUGAAGCACAUGAAUUGAUUGAUGAGGAGUACUAUAUGUUUUGCAACGAAGGUAUUGCAAACGCUACACUAUUUAUGAUUUGGAGCUCUUUUGUAGUCUCGUUUAUUUGUUGUUCGUGA